rnacentral:lncRNA from 1 species
UUCACUCGCUACUUUAACACGGUGACAGAAGAGCAUGUUUUGAGUUAGCAGUUGCGGACAUGUUCUCUUUAUGUUUAUUAGUCCAUUAGUCACAUGAUAAAACUUGGUUUGGUAGGGUGUCAACAAGUUCCAUGGAUAGCAGCAGGGGAUUUCUAACACCCCCUUUUAUCUGGAUGCACGGUGUAUGCUGCAAUUUAUAUUAUGCGAUUUGCACUUCACGAGUCAAGAAGCUCUACUGAUUCUGCUCCUUUUGACAGAACGACGAGAGUGACGUCGAGGCUCCGGAGGCAGAGAAGAAGGCUGAAGAACCUGCAGCAGCUACCGCUGUUGAAAAUGGAGCGACAGAGCAGCAGCUAGCAGUUGAGCCCUCCACUGCGACGACCGAGCCAAAUCACACGGCCGAAAUCCUGGAGCCAGAGGAUGCACGGGAUGCGCAGGUGGUGGAAGAAGAGAAGCGUGUGGAUCCUGAUUCAGUUCAGGUUGCAAUUUAUCUUUAUGCGAUUUUCACUUCAUGAGUCAAGAAGCUCUACUAAAUCUGCUCCUUUUGACAGAACGACGAGAGUGACGUCGAGGCUCCGGCGGCAGAGAAGAAGGCUGAAGAACCUGCAGCAGCUACCGCUGAUGAAAGUGAAGCGACGGAGGAGCAGCUAGCAGUUGAGCCCUCCAUUGCGACGACCGAGCCAAAUCACACGGCCGAAAUCCU